rnacentral:lncRNA from 1 species
AUAAGAAAGAUAUUUUGUGUUACUUUCAGUCAUGAUAGUGAUGACUGUUCAAAUAUUAAUGAGAGCUAAAAAUGAGUGCUAUGUAUUGAUUACAGUUCAGGCACUGAUUUAUGUACCUAAACUGAGUUUUAUAGAUUUAUCCUACCAUUUUUUCACCAGUAUUUUCCUAUACAGAUCAAUUUCAUUCAUAUUUUGAGUUCACUUGCAGAAGAUGCAAGAGAAGAAAACUGUUUUGAAGAGAAGUUAAGGGCUUUGAAACAGCAAGAGAAAGCUUCAGACUGUCAUUAUAUGUAGAGAACUCUAUUUAAAUAAACACGAAAUCAGGAAAUCAUAUUGAGAUUCAGGCUUUUAAAUUUAAAUCCUGGUCAAGAAAAUACUCACUGAUGAAAAGUAAGUCGGAGAGGGAAAAACAGUUAUUACCAGAAUGCACAACAAACCAGAAAUAAAAUCUACAUCAAGGGCCAUCCUUGCCUUGUGUCUCCCACUACUCAACUCAAUGUUCACCACUAAGGCAGUCUUUCCUCCAGGCUUACUUCUGAAUGUAUCAGGCUUACUUCUGAAUGUAUUGAGACAAACUGUAACUACAUCAGGUCAUAAAAACACUUAUAACUCAAUGAAGGAGCUUCUGGAGAGGACAAUAAUGUGCACUGAUUUGAUGGUGUUCAAAAUCAAGACUGGAAGCUGAAUAAUGGAUUCAGAAAUCAGGAUCUCCUUGUGCUGCAAUCAUGAUUCACUUGUUUGCUUCUCAUUCAGGUGGGUUUGAAGACUUCUGUACACUCUCAAAAAAGACAUAAAUAUUUAAGAGCGAACAGGAUUCAUGAACUAUAUGAGAAAAUCUCCUGCUUAUGCUCUUUUUAUCCACAUGCUAUCUUUCCUUCUUUUAGUUACAUUUUCCUUUCUAUUAUUUUUUCCAGCGUUCUACUUGUGUAAUGGCAGAAUGGAAAGGUCUGGUAGUUCAUUUUAUCUAGGUGCUGUUAUUAAAAGCCAGGAAACAGAACAGAAGUAUCUAGGCAAGAAAACAGGGACAGGAGCACCAGGAAAAAAAUAAAAAUUAAAAAUUUAAAAAAAAAAGAGUAGAG